UACGUAGGGGGCUAGCGUUGUCCGGAAUUAUUGGGCGUAAAGAGCUUGUAGGCGGUUUGUCGCGUCUGCUGUGAAAUUUCGGGGCUCAACCCCGAACUUGCAGUGGGUACGGGCAGACUAGAGUGUGGUAGGGGGAGACUGGAAUUCCUGGUGUAGCGGUGAAAUGCGCAGAUAUCAGGAGGAACACCAAUGGCGAAGGCAGCUCGCUGGGACGGUACUGACGCUGAGACGCGAAAGCGUGGGGAGCAAACAGG
rnacentral:rRNA from 1 species